ACUAUAAACUAGGGAUGACCCGUUUGACACGGGGCUUCGGCGCGCGGUUCACCUUCAUGAAACAGAGUGUUUCGGCACAAUGUUUCGAAGCGUGUGUCAACCAGCGCAGAUCACGUGAUUGAUGACGUAUGACGCGCCAAAUGCAUCAUUCACCUGAACCAGGUUUCAGAUCUCAGGUGUGUUUGAUCAGAAGGGCGCGCUGUUGUCUAUAAAUACAGAUGAAUCCCAAACAACGUUUCCCGACCAGUUCUGUUGUUUCCCGUGUAUCGUAAGAAUCAACGUCAUGGCACCCGGUAAAAAGCGUUCUGUGGCUUGGGAUCAUUUCAACUUGAUUUCUCCAAAUAAGGUGCAAUGUUUGAUUUGCAAACAUGAAUUUGCAUUUAAUGAUAGUACAUCCUCCAUGAUGCGACAUCUCCGCUCCGUUCAUCAUAUUGAAACUCCGCAGUCGGCAAAUCAAGCCUUCAAUCCACCUCAUAUUGUGUCAAGAAAGCAAGAACUUGAUUCUGCAUUGGUGGAUAUGAUUGUAAUGGAUGCACAACCAUUUUCAAUUGUUGAAGACAAAGGCUUCAAGGCUUUUGUCAACCUUUUGGACCCAUCCUACAUAAUUCCUAAUAGUACAGGAGAAGUACAAAGCCAAAAAGGAGAAGGCUUUAGAUGUGGUUAGCAGGGCCUCUGCUGUCAGCCUUACAGCAGACAUGUGGACAUCCAUUAACAUGGACGCUUACUUGGCUGUAACAUGCCAUUUUAUCACCGAGGAGGUGGAGCUGGCCUCUGUGGUCUUGGGGGUUCUGAAGUUUCCCCAAACCCACACUGCAGCUCACUUGGCUGAGGCCAAAAAUCUUCUCAUGGAAGAAUGGGGAAUUCAAGGGAAGGUGCGAGCCAGAUCAAUAAAGUACAAAAUCAUUCAUCAAUAUGGCCUCCCAAUACCUAAUAUACAUGAUUUGUGAACAUGUAAUCUUUCUUCCAGGUGACAGGCCUGGUUACAGACUGUGCUCCCAACAUGGUUGCAUGUGCUAAUAUAUUACUGCUUCGGCACAUAAUGUGUUUUGCACAUAUGCUUAAUUUGGUGGUGAAAAAGUCCCUUGCCCAAACCCCUGAACUAGAGGAUAUCCGAAGUAAGGGGCGUAGGAUUGUCGGUCUUUUUAAAUCCAGCACCACAGCGAAGGAGAAGCUGUCAGAGAUGCAGCGACAGCUGGCCAGGCCAGAGCACAAAUUAAUACAAGAGGUGGAAACAAGAUGGAACAGCACAUUUAAUAUGUUGGAAAGGUUGUUUAAGGAGAGAGAGCCACUGGGGGCAGCUCUGGCCACCCUCCAUACAGACCUUCCUCCACUCACCUCAGAGGACUACCAGGCCAUACACCACUGCUUGAGCGUUCUUUCACCGUUUCAAGAGGCCACAGUUGAGCUUUCGACAGAAAAACAAGUGUAAGCAUCCAAAGUCAUUCCCAUGGUCAAAAUGCUGAAACAUUACAUCUCAAGCAGGUGUGGUCAGAUCACACACCCACUUGGUGAAAAACUGGCCACUAACUUGAAGAACAAUCUCCAUGAGAGGUUUUCAGCUCUGGAGAAGGUCACUGCUCUGUCAAUGGCAACCUUGUUGGACCCAAGGUUUAAAGAGCUGGGGUUCUGCAGCCAAGGCUCUGCCCACACGGCCAUAGAGCGACUCACUAAAGAGUGUGCUGCAACAAUGCAGGCGCUACUUCCAGAGGCACAGCCACAGUCGCCACCUAGAGAAGGUCCUUCAAGUCAGCAGGAAGAUGGUGGUCUCUGGGCCCUGCUGGACAGGCAUGUGGGGGUUCAACAGCAGGUGACCAGCACAACUGCCAGUGCAACAGUGGAGGUUCAGAGGUACUUAAAGGAACCUCACAUCCCAAGGACUCAGGACCCACUGAGAUACUGGGUUACCCACAAGGUUUUAUACCCACAUCUCUACAAGCUGGCAAUGAAGUUUUUAUGCACACCAGCUUCAUCUGUGCCUUGUGAGAGGAUCUUCUCCAAGGUUGGCGAAAUCGUCAGCCAAAGACGAAACAGGCUGAAGCCCAGCACAGUGGAGAAAAUUCUGUUUUUAAAUAAAAAUCUAUAACAUGUAUCCCACCCAGUCAUGUUAGACCCUGGUUCACAAGCACUCAUUCUCACUUUAUACAUGGCAUUCACAAU